GCCUUAUACAACUCGAGGGCACCAUUACACACACUUUCGUUUUUCAAGUCUAAGAGCAAAACCCCGAGUCUUUCUUCACUUCGAGCAAAAUCCCGAGCCUUAACAUCUCUCACUCCCACUUUGGCCUUAGAGAGUUUUGUUGGAUUGGGAAUUUAGGGUUUUUUCGAUUAACUGUUCAGCUCACUUUGCCUAGGCGAAGACGGAGGCUAGGUGGAAGACGGAGGUACAGUCCAAUGACUUCGUCUUCAUUCUCUCAAGUCUGAUUGUCUCAUCUAAUUUCUGAAAACCCAAACCUCCUUGAAACCUUCAACCCAGUCUCUGCGACGAUCGACGGCAGCGGCACGACGACCUCGUCUCGUUCUCGCAACGUCACUCUGUCAAUCACUCAAUCUCGCUUUUGGUGGUGGAGCAGAAGAAAGAAAAGAAAAAAAUAAGAAGGGGUCGGGAAAGAGAGGAGAAGGAAGAGAAUAGAGGGAUGUUGAGAAAGAUAGAGAAGAAAAGAAGAAGAAAUAGGAAGAGGGAAGAAGAAGAUGUUUAUCUUCCGGAGGGUUGCUUUCUAAGGGAGAGGAGAUCAUAAACGAGAGAGAAGGAGAGAGACGAGUUUGUUUGAAGUUAAAAGGCAAGAACAUGGUGUUGGGUUCAGUUUCUUUUUGAGUAGGUAUUAUUUGAGAUUAGGAUUAAAACUUCACUGCACCCAACAAGCAAAGGAGCAUGCAGUGGUAAAUCCUUUUCAUUAUUUCUAGGGAUACUAGUGAAUUGCAGUGGUACUAGUAGUUGUAUCACUAAUCUUUUUUUUUUUUUUCCUGUAUUGUUUUUGAUUUGGUGCAUAAGGGCAGCUUUGAGGUUUUCUUUCUUUGAUCUCUUUAAGGUCAGAAAAGCCUCAAUUUAUUCCUUUUGUAUUUGUUUGCUAACAUUUUCUUUGAGCACAUGCAUAUCUAUAGUGUCACUGGAUUUAGCUUUUACAUUUAACCAUUUAAAAGAGCUGCUGGUAUUUGCCUUCUUGCAUUUUCAGUUGAAGCUUGUAGGAGAAACAUCAAGUUCAAUGGUUCAGUUGCAUGUUCAAAGGUGGAAUCACAUCUUGGUGAUGUUCGUGUGCAUAUAUAUGUUAAUUCCUUGAUGGUCAUUGCUUUCUUUUUUCAAUUCUUUUGCCACUGGUUUUGUUAAUCUCACUUGCCUUGAUCAGAGUAGCUCUUUCAAGGUCUUUGUAUUCCUUUCUUAUAAAAAAACGUCAUUUCAAACCAUGAAGCAUUGUUGACUUGUUGAGUUUCUGAAGCAUGUUACCUUGCUAUUUUUAUUGAAGUUAAUGUUGAUAAAAUUCAAGUUGUCUUGCUUUGUUGUCUUUGAGUAAAAAUUAACCUGUUAGAUUUCUUGUUGUGCUUCUAGAAAUUUGAAAAUUUAAUAUCAAGCAUUUUUGAUAGCUACCAAAAUAAAAGCAUAUAUGAAGGAAAAUAUCAUUGGACAAGUGGUUCAACUAUUUGUGUUGUAGAUGCUUAAUCCUUUGCAGACCAUACAAUGGUCUGAAGUGUAAGCUUGGCACUUUGGUAGGUUGCUCCAUUGCAACCUGAAGGUCCCGGGUUUGAAGGGGGAGAUAGCCUCUCCCAGAUGGGGUCAACAGUCUCUAGGCUCUGCAAUGGCUGGAUUCCCAUGCAUAUUGAGCUGUCUGUAAAAUAGACGAGAAGGCAAUCAAUGAGGUAUUUCUGAAAGUCCUGGAUAAUUAGAUCAAAUGGUGCAAAUACCUGCGGAUCUGGCUUCACAAGCAAUUAAUCGGGACAUAAACUUUUUCUGGUGUCAUUGUACUUUCUGAUAUGGGGUGAGGCUGCAAAUGUCCACUUUCUUCCUGAAUGCAUUUGCUACAUGUUUGACCAUAUGGCGAAGGAGUUAGAUGCUAUUCCUGCUGCUGGCUGCACAAUAGAAAAUGAUUAUGUGUCCUUCCUCAAGCAGAUUGUUUAUCCUAUGUAUGAAACAUUGGCAGCGGAAGCUGCUAGAAACAAUAACGGGAAAGCUGCACAUUUCAGUGUGGCGGAAUUAUGACGACUUCAAUGAAUACUUUUGCUUUGUUUGCUUGUCAUUCAAUUAUGGAUGAACAAUGUGAUUCCUUCUUUUUGGUGUGUGAAGCGUCUGUGGAAUAUGCAGGUCACCUGCUUGUUUAGUUGAGCUAAGAGAUUGGAUGAAGAUUGUGGAAUCGUAAGUCCCUUGUAUUGAUCAUACAUAUUCGGUUGUUGCUGAAGGAAAGCAUCAUUUUUGUGCUUCUCUGCUGGUCCAAUAUUCAUGCACUGUGUGGCAUGUUUUGUAACAAAUAGUUUGUAUUUGUAUCAGCUUUUGAUGUCCCAGGUAGAUGGGCAUGCAUUUGAAUGCUUUUCUUCUUUUAAUGUUGGCUUGAAUGAUUGGGAAAUCCUUCCUUUUAACGUUUGAAUGCUUUUCUUCAAAUAGUAUGAGUUGGAUUACUCUUUAUUCAUA